GUGUGUGGUGGAAAGUUUUUUCGGUGUAGGAUGAGCCCGCGGCCUAUCAGCUUGUUGGUGGGGUAAUGGCCUACCAAGGCGGCGACGGGUGGCCGGACUGAGAGGUCGGUCGGCCACAUUGGGACUGAGAUACGGCCCAGACUCCUACGGGAGGCAGCAGUGGGGAAUAUUGCACAAUGGGCGCAAGCCUGAUGCAGCGACGCCGCGUGGGGGAUGACGGCCUUCGGGUUGUAAACUCCUUUCGCCAGGGACGAAGCGUUUUGUGACGGUACCUGGAGAAGAAGCACCGGCUAACUACGUGCCAGCAGCCGCGGUAAUACGUAGGGUGCAAGCGUUGUCCGGAAUUACUGGGCGUAAAGAGUCUCGUAGGUGGUUUGUCACGUCGUCUGUGAAAUUCCACAGCUUAACCGUGGGCGUGCAGGCGAUACGGGCUGACUUGAGUACUGUAGGGGUAACUGGAAUUCCUGGUGUAGCGGUGAAAUGCGCAGAUAUCAGGAGGAACACCGAUGGCGAAGGCAGGUUACUGGGCAGUUACUGACGCUGAGGAGCGAAA
rnacentral:rRNA from 1 species